GAGUUUGAUCCUGGCUCAGGACGAACGCCUGGCGGCGUGCCUAAUACAUGCAAGUCGAACCGAAACCAAA
rnacentral:rRNA from 1 species